CCCAGUACACAGAGGCUGCUUCUUUCCUUUGUGUGGAAAUGAUGCAGGUGAAUCAUCUCCUAAUUAACGAGAGUCUGCGAUGUAGGCUUGCAGCCUCCAGAUAGAGAUCUCAGAGGGAGCUCUGCUUUCAACUUUCUGCCUGGGCAGGCAUCUUAUUAGCGCAAGAGAAAGAAGAACAAUGCAGCCUCCUCUGACAGUGUGGCUUAUUAUUACCAUGUUUUCCCGUUUCCCUUUAUCACAGAGGGAAGAGAACAGGAGCGAGUAGAGGAGGAGUGAGAAAGGAAGUACAGGGGAGAGGAUGCCUCACUGAAGCUCCCCAUGGCUCACAGCCACCCAGGUGCACGGCAGGUGAGGGCAGUUGGCAGGAGAGGAAUUCUGGGAUGUCCAGAGCAAGAGGGGACAUGGAGCAGCCCUGACCUGAGCCCACAUUAUGCUUGCUGAAUGAGGUGAGGUAUACACGCUAAGGAG
rnacentral:lncRNA from 1 species